UCAAAUAUCGAACGCGCCACUUCCGGCUGACAGUGGCUGAGGAUCAUGGUGUAAUGUAGCUUCCCGCUAUCCAAAAUUGUCGGUUGUUUCUGAGAAUUUGUGUGGUGAGCUGUGUGUGGUUACGCGGUGGUUAGUUCACAGGUGGACAAUGCGGUCCUUUUGGGCGGUUUUCCGUAAAUUUGACGACUGACUGAAACGAACAACGCCCUGGAUUGAACAGAGUCACAGCUAUGCGCAGCGGUAAUUUUGCAGGAGUGGAAAGGCCGAAAUCCCGAGAGAAGUAAUUUAGUGCUGGAGGUUUAUUGCAAAUUCACAACAUGGCCCCUUUGAACGACGACUGGGAUACCUUCAAAGUGUGGAGCAAUACAGAACCCAUCAAGUUUGUGAUACCAUCCUGAUCCACGCCAAGGAGCUGUUCUCCUUCACCCAGCACCUCAUCAGUGCAACACUGUUGCAUGGAGAGAUGUUCCCACAAUACAGUGGGAAGUUCCCUGAAGCAGCACUUGAAACGACAGUGCAGACGUACCCCAUGUUGAACAAGGCCAAGCUCAAAACGGAACUGUCCCUCAUCUAUGAUAACAGUGAGUUCAAUGCUUGCAGUGGUGCGGUGUCUCUGUACCAGUUUUUCAUGGAGAACAACCUUCAGAGCACUUUCACAGACACUGUCAGUCUUCUCAGGAUCCUCCUCACCACACCCAUGACAACAGCUGAAUCUGAGAGGUGUUUCUCUACUUUGAAGAGGAUCAAGACCUUCCUGAGAAACACCAUGACACAGGAUUGCCUCAAUGCUCUGGCUAUGCUCUCCAUUGAGAAGAAACUUGUCAGGGACAUUCCUGAAUUUAAUAAGAAGGUCAUUGAGAGGUUUGCCUCACAGAAGCAGAGAAGAGCAAAAUUCCUCAAAUAAACUGUCAAAAAAAUCAUCCACGUUUUCUCACCAGUAUUGCAAAUGCCAUUGUUUUUAAGUUGUUGCACAUAGUCCUCAGUCUCAAAUGCUUAAAUUGUUUAUGGAGGCAUUAAAAUGUUAGACUGUUAAAUUAA